CUGAUGGCAUUUGGCCCCUCCUCUUCUUGCUGUGGCCACUGCCGGACCUCAGACCCUCAGCCUCUUUCUGGUCUGAUAACGUCAUCCUUCUCCCCUCCCCCUCCCCCACACUCCUAUCAUUCCUGCCAACCUGUGUUCAGUUGUACAAACGGAAUCAUUUGGGGGAGGAGGCUGGACCUAAUUUUAGAAUUUCGUUUGGCCCUGAAGAGCAGCUGUUUAGAAAUUCCAGCCACACUUUUAAAGUCACCUGGACCACCAGCUGUCAGCCACCUCUCGCUGGAUCCCAGCGGAAGACUGCGAUAAUAACACUGCACCUGCAAAGAGCCAGCCCGAGCCCCAGUUUAUCUGACCAUUGGCCGUGUGACUCGGGCACUUGACUCUCCCUGUGUCUUUGUCACCUCAUCUCUGUAGAGCUGUACCUUCCUCGUGGGAUUUCUGUAAGGAUUAAUGCAUAUCUGUUUAUCUGUCUACAUCUUAGGACAAUGUCUGGUCUGCGGUAAAGGCUCUUGAACUGCUUCCUCCUAUUCCUAUUGUCCUUUUUGUUUUUAGCCCUAACGUUUGUUCUUAUUCUAGCCUUGCUGCUGUCGUUAGUAUGCGUCCCCCUUUCCCUUGCUCCUUUUUCCAAGAAUUAUGUUAAAUUUCCUGUGCUGUCCCCCUCCCCCACCCCACCCAACUCUGGACGUUGUAUCCGAUUCCUCCUGGUUGUAUGGGGAUUGUUUGUAAACUUCUGCUGGUUGGUCCUCCGCCCGUCUAACUGCCCUGAGGGAGGUCUGACCUUGAAGUUGCUGUGCAAUCUAAAUUGUUAAGCUAUUUCAAGUGCCCGGACUCUUCCCCGCUAGAGCCCAAGGGAAUGGUCACGUCUCAGAAUUAAUGCAAGCACAACUCUGUCAAAUCCGCUUUACCCAUUAAGAACUAGAUAAAUGCCUCCUCUUUCGUGUCUCCUGAUCCUCUGUCCUUUUCGUUUCUUUUUUUUUUUUUUAUCAUUUUAUGUAAUGAUUUUUAUUUUUUCCAUUAUAGCUGAUUUACAGCAUCCUGUCAAUUUUCUCCUGUACGGCAUGGUGACCCCGUCACACAAGUACAUACAUGCCUUCUUUUUUCUCACGUGAUCAGGCUCCAUCGUAAGUGCCUAGACACAGUUCCCAGGGCUGCACAGCGGGAUCUCAUUGCUAAUCCACUCCUUUUGUUUCUUGAUUCAAUAGGUAAACUCAGGGGUCAUCCUUUAUCUGUGAGGCUGCUUAGACAGUGAAACACAAGCUUCAGAUCUGGUUGAUGCAUAUCCGUGGAAGACCUGAAUGUUUCAGGAUAAAAGAACAGAGAUGUCACAACUGUCUCUCUUCCUUUUGAUGUUUCAAAGGCAUGAUUGCGAAUCACAAUAAUUAGCUGACAUCUCCUGGGCUCUCUCUGUGCCAGGCAUGAUGAAAUCUUUUUAUAUAUUAUCUCCUUUGACCCUAAAAGGGGCUCUGGUGUAGGUGUGCCCACAGGGAAGUUGCUUGUCUCAUUGCAAACGGAAUUCAGAAACGAGCCGGAAAUUGAGAAAGUCAAGUGAGGAAUUGUUUAAGUGAGAGAGACAUCUCUUAAAGAGGGGAGAGGUGGGCAGCCGCCCUGAGUGGGGGGCAGCCAUUAUAAAGGGCAUCCAGGAGUUCCUGUUACGGCUCAGUGGUUAAUGAAUCUGACUAGGAACGAUGAGGUUGCGGGUUCAAUCCCUGGCCUCGCCCAGUGAGUUAAGGAUCUGGUGUUGCCAUGAGCUGGGGUAUAGGCCACAGAUGCGGCUGUGGCUGUGGUGCAGGCCGGCAGCAACAGCUCCGAUUAGACCCCAGCCCGGGAACUUCCAUAUGCUGCGGGUGCGGCCCUAGAAAAGACAAAAAGACAAAAAUUAAAAAAUAAAUAAAUAAAUAAAGGGCA
rnacentral:lncRNA from 1 species